rnacentral:rRNA from 1 species
GACGAACGCUGGCGGCGUGCUUAACACAUGCAAGUCGAACGGUGACCUCGAGAGCUUGCUCUUGGGUGAGCAGUGGCGAACGGGUGAGUAACACGUGAGUAACCUGCCCCUGACUCUGGAAUAAGCGCUGGAAACGGCGUCUAAUACCGGAUACGAGACGCCGCCGCAUGGUGAGUGUCUGGAAAGUUUUUCGGUCUGGG